UAGGGUUCAAGAUCUCCAGGGUGAA
rnacentral:piRNA from 2 species